GUUAACUGGAGAAUGGGGUUCAUUAUUUUGGCAAACAGGAGAACGAGGUUCAAAUGCAGUGAUCAGAGGAUCAUUUGCGCAAGAGAAAAUUUCGGGGUUCAAGAAAAGCAGAAAAAGAUGAUAAUAAUCCCCAGCGGAUGUGGUGUUCAGGCCGUGGUUAUCCCUGCGUUACCAUUUAUUUUGGUAUCCAGGUCGACGUUGUUGUUUCGGUGAUUAGGCCGACUUUCUCCGUUCCGG
rnacentral:lncRNA from 1 species